AUCCAGCUGACGAGUUCCAAAUGAGACAAAACGCCGGUCCUGGAU
rnacentral:hammerhead_ribozyme from 1 species